UGUCCAAGGAACAACCAGCCUUCCAGUACAGCAGCCACGUGUCUCUACAAGCCCCCAGUGGUCACAUGUGGGGAACGUUUCGGAUUGAAAGAUCCGAUGGCUCGCACUUUGAUGUCCGCAUUCCUCCUUUCUCACUGGAAAGCAAUAAAGACGACAAAGCGCCCCCUGCUGGCUACACGUUCUAACAAUGACUUCCAUGGUGACGCCUCGGAUACCCAGCCAGUCCUGGUCCUACCUGGGUUCCCUACAGUUCCUCUGUGACCCUGCCACAGCAUUCAGUCACAUUAAGCUGAGGGAAGAUGUAGGGUGUCUAGAUAAUCCAGUUGCUGCUCCACCUUUUUCCCCUGUCCAAAUGCACCAAAUACCAGUAUGUAAUUGAUUUAAGUGACCGUGUGGAAACUCCCUCUGCUGUUCACGUGGUUUAAGAGACGUGCAGCGAAAUGGAAGAUCAAACUGAUGCUGCCAGAUUGAACAGGAUGAGUUCUGACAUGCAGUUAGUGAAAUACGGCGCAGGGUGGAGGAUUUACUGCUACGCUCAGGGUUUCACAAAAGUGAGUCUUUAAACUGACACCUCAAAAACCCACAUGAUGACAUUUUUAGGAUUUAUAGCAACAUAUCAGUCUGGACCUCUUGCUUUAUAAACAACUUGAAUGAGUUACGCCUGAUUACUGAAAGUCGUGUAAGAUGCUAAUUUUGAUCUGGUUUACAGUGAAGUGAAACACUGGACAUCACUGGUCACCUUGGGACGAAACGGGCUCGACGUUUCAGUUAAAUCACAUUUAUGUCAAUCCUGAAGAUAAAAAUCAUAACUGAUUAGAGCAGUUCCUGAAUAAAUGAAGCAGCAGCAUCUGUGACCGUGUGAGACGUCCUCAUGAAGCUGCUCUGUUUAUUUAAAUCAUACGUCCCAAACAGAAGCAGCUCCGUGUGUGUUGGUAUGAGCCGACAUUAAUGAAGCUGGUGCUGCAAGGACAGCGGUGUCAUUGGCGUUUUAACCAGAAACGCUCCUCAAACCUGUCCAAUUAUUCAUUUUGAUCUUUACAACCUACUCUCUGUCCUCUUCCUCGCUCCUGCCCCACAAGUCCAACUACCAAGUCCAUCUAGCAGCCACUGCUCCGAACAUUAGACCAACUUGCAGUGAUUCAUGCUUCUUACAACGCGGGCUUCUUUUGUUCUUAUUCAGCUCUAAUGAAUAGAUCAAGUUUCAGCACAACAAACUGUCUAAGAACAGAAAACGACCCAAGGAGCAUGAAUCUCAGCUGCAGCUGUAUGAUUUAGAACUACUGCCUGAUUCGUGUUUUUGCUUAUAAAAUGAUCAUGUCUACAUGCUUUGGACUUGCAGUGAAUUACAGUUUACUCACAACAGCAGCUGGAAACCUCAAGUCCAGAGACGUGUCCUGCUGCUCAUCUAGCUAGCUGGGAUCUUUGUAUUCACUGAUCUACUGGAUCAAACGUGGAGGGAAAUGCCUUGAUGCUGUAAAACUGAGCUCACCCAUGACCAUAGCUUCCACUCAAUAACCUUUCAAAAUAAAUCAUGAUGGCAGAAACGUACUGGGAUACUUAGUUUUAUUCGUAUCUUGUUUUCUGGGAGGAAGGUGCUUCAGACUGUUGGGGAUCUUGUGUUAAAGGCUUUUGCCCAUUUUCCAUCUGGGUAACUCACAACUUCUAUUCCUCUCUGGUAAACCUUUAGGUGCCCUGCUGCAGCUGAACAUUCAAAUGGUUUGAACAAAUGUGUAUUGGAAGAGUCUCUGGACCUUUGUCUCAGUGUGAGGCUGCCACCCACAGGCUUUAUGCUGCAUGUGCAUUAAUGUUGCCUAAAACAGUCACAAAUGAAGGAUUGCUUUGAUUUAAUUCCAUUAGUUGACUGUAAAAUAUCUUGGGACAUUAAAAAAAAGCUUCCCAGUUGUAGGAACUGCCCAGAAAUACAUAUAACUCCUAAUAAUUAGGACAAUAAGAGUCUUAACAUUAUGACUUGAUCACUGAAACUGGGAAUGAAACAAAAUCCUCCACUUUUUUCUUUUCUUCCCAGUAACCCUGAUAAGUCGUCAUAUUCUUUCUCCUGUUCGGCAGUUGUUUAUUUGAUCAACCUGCUGCACAUCUGUUGUCAUGAUGCCAUCGUUGAUUAUAAAACGAAGCCGGCACAUCUGGAUGCAUACAUGAUGCGCUACACGUAGAACUUCUGUACAGUGAUCAGACCGCACCAGGUGCACUUCAGGUGUCGCAGUAAAGCAACUGAGCGCUGAGUAUGUGAGACUUCUAUGGGUAUGUGUUCACACUAAAGUCCACCAGGUUAAAAAAAACUAACAAAGAUGUCCGCUGUGAUUCUCUGUUACUGAGAUCAAACUAGGAGUGCUACAUCCGACAGCCAAAAGAGACACCUGAUUAUAACGGGCUAUGGUCGUUCUAUAACAAAAGCCCAGCGAUGUGUUAAAGGAGAGGCCAGAGACAUGUCUGUCCUGUUUUUGUUUUUUUGGUUUGUUUGUUUUUAAAUGUCUGGCUGUUUGAAUUUGCAGAACAGGAGUUGUGAGGCUAACAUCUCUCCCUUUACGUGAAGAAACUAAUACUGUUGCUUUAGGGAGGGGUUUGAAGCAACUACAAUGUUUGAAAUGCUGUAAAUAGAUGUAAUUAAAGGCAAAAUAAACUUUU